CCAGCCAGGUUCUGUCUAGGAUCUCCAGCCAGGUUCUGUAGCCAUGUUCUCUCGCUAGGUUCUCCAGCCAGGUUCUCCAGGUUCUCCAGCCAGUUUCGGUCGCCAGGUUCUCCAGCCAGGUUCUAUCCAGAUUCUCCUGCCAUGUUCUGUCUAGGUUCUCCAGCCAAGUUCUGUAGCCAGGUUCUGUCCAGGAUCUUUUGCCAUGUUCUCUCGCUAGGUUCUGUGUC